rnacentral:piRNA from 1 species
AUUGGGAGCUGGGGAUGAUGACU